rnacentral:rRNA from 1 species
GACGAACGCUGGCGGCGUGCUUAACACAUGCAAGUCGAACGGGAAGGCCCUGCUUUUGUGGGGUGCUCGAGUGGCGAACGGGUGAGUAACACGUGAGUAACCUGCCCUUGACUUUGGGAUAACUUCAGGAAACUGGGGCUAAUACCGGAUAGGAGCUCCUGCUGCAUGGUGGGGGUUGGAAAGUUUCGGCGGUUGGGGAUGGACUCGCGGCUUAUCAGCUUGUUGGUGGGGUAGUGGCUUACCAAGGCUUUGACGGGUAGCCGGCCUGAGAGGGUGACCGGACACAUUGGGACUGAGAUACGGCCCAGACUCCUACGGGAGGCAGCAGUGGGGAAUAUUGCACAAUGGGCGGAAGCCUGAUGCAGCAACGCCGCGUGCGGGAUGACGGCCUUCGGGUUGUAAACCGCUUUCGCCUGUGACGAAGCGUGAGUGACGGUAAUGGGUAAAGAAGCACCGGCUAACUACGUG